GACGAACGCUGGCGGCGUGCCUAAUACAUGCAAGUCGAGCGAGCGGCGGACGGGUAAGUAAUGCCUGGGAAUCUGCCUGUUAGUGGUGGAUAACGUCCGGUAACGGGCGCUAAUACCGCAUACCAUCAGCUGGGCUCAGGGGGGAUUAGCUAGUAGGUGGGGUAAUGGCUCACCUAGGCGACGAGCCCUAGCUGGUCUGAGAGGAUGACCAGCAACACUGGAACUGAGACACGGUCCAGACUCCUACGGGAGGCAGCAGUGGGGAAUAUUGCACAAUGGACGAAAGCCUGAUGCAGCCAUGCCGCGUGUGUGAAGAAGGCCUUCGGGUUGUAAAGCACUGUCAGCGGGGAGGCGGUACUCGCAGAAGAAGCACCGGCUAACUCCGUGCCAGCAGCCGCGGUAAUAC
rnacentral:rRNA from 1 species